GUGCUUGUUUUGGCAGGAUAUAUACUAAAAUUGGAACAACACAGAGAAUAUUAGUAUGGUUCCUGCACCAGGAUGACACAAAUUCAUGAAGCAUUCCACAUUAAA